rnacentral:rRNA from 1 species
AGUGGCGGACGGGUGAGUAACGCGUGAGAAUCUGCCUUGGGGUCGGGGACAACCACUGGAAACGGUGGCUAAUACCGGAUAAGCCGAUUGGUGAAAGAUUUAUUGCCCGAAGAGGAGCUCGCGUCUGAUUAGCUAGUUGGUGAGGUAAGAGCUCACCAAGGCAGCGAUCAGUAGCUGGUCUGAGAGGACGAUCAGCCACACUGGGACUGAGACACGGCCCAGACUCCUACGGGAGGCAGCAGUGGGGAAUUUUCCGCAAUGGGCGAAAGCCUGACGGAGCAAGACCGCGCGAGGGAGGAAGGCUCUUGGGUUGUAAACCUCUUUUCUCAGGGAAGAAGCUCUGACGGUACCUGAGGAAUCAGCCUCGGCUAACUCCGUGCCAGCAGCCGCGGUAAUACGGAGGAGGCAAGCGUUAUCCGGAAUUAUUGGGCGUAAAGCGUCCGCAGGUGGCGAUUCAAGUCUGCUGUCAAAGCACGGGGCUUAACUCCGUAAAGGCAGUGGAAACUGAAUAGCUAGAGUGCCGUAGGGGUAGAGGGAAUUCCCGGUGUAGCGGUGAAAUGCGUAGAGAUCGGGAAGAACAUCGGUGGCGAAAGCGCUCUACUGGACGGCAACUGACACUCAGGGACGAAAGCUAGGGGAGCGAAUGGGAUUAGAUACCCC